rnacentral:rRNA from 1 species
UUAACCAGAAUGUUUAAAUUAGUGUUAUAAUAUAUAAUGUAUAUACUAAUGCAACUGCGAAUAGCUGUUUAAUACAGUCGUAAUUGUAUUGACUUAGUAUAAUGUUAAUAAUAGUUAUUUAUAGGAUAACUAAGGGAAAGUUUGGCUAAUACGUUUUAACAGUAUUAUAAUUCUUAAUACACAUAUAAUAAUAUUAUAAUAUGAUAAAUAUUAUAUAAAUAUUUUAAUACAUUUAUUUGUAUUAAUAUAUAGAGUUGACUUUAUAAUAUUUAUUUAUUAUAAAGCAUGUCAAACAAGCAUCUAUAGCAUCAAGUCACAAUGUUGGCAUGUGUAUUAUUGAACCUUCAAAGCAUUUACGCAUUCGGAGGAGUAGUUUCUGAUCCCGUCGAAGGUGCCUGAGAGACGGCACUUAGUUCUAAGGAACGCAGCAGGCGCGUAAAUUGCCCAAUGACAAAACAUGUUAUAAUAAAAUAUAUAAUGUAUAUAUUGAAUACUCAAUAUUUAAUUGAGGCAGUGACAAGCUGUAAAGAUUGAAUAUAUUAAUUAAGAUAACAUUUGGAAUUGUCGUUUUAUAAUAUUUUUUAAUAUUAUAUUACUUGAUAAUAUACCAAUGUUAUAAAAUAUUCAAUUUGAAUGCGGUGAAUGUAAUAAUUUCAAGUAACAUGUAUAAAAUAUUUAUAUUUUAUUAGUUAUCUGAAUUUUCAAGUGGAGGGCAAGUCUGGUGCCAGCAGCCGCGGUAAUACCAGCUCCACUAGCUUAUACAAUCAUUGUUGCGGUUAAGAGGCUCGUAGUUGGAUUGAAUAAAACAUAUAUACACAAUACUGUGAACAAACCAGAGUGUAUAAAACAUGUAAUAUAUUAUAUAUUUAGCAAUGAAUGUUUUAUCAUGGAAUAUUGCUAUAAUGAAUAUUAAUAUCGAUGGAGAUAGUUGGAGUUAAGAGUACUGAUAGGCGAGCGGUGAAAUGCAUUGACCCUAUUAAGACUAACAAAAGCGAAAGCACUUAACUAGAUUAUUCUCUUUGUAUUAUUUUACAAUGAAGAGCGAAGGUUGGGGGAACAAAGAGGAUCAGAUACCCUCGUAGUCCUAUUUUUACAUCAAACUAUGGGAUUUCAUUCACACUAAACACUAAACAUUAUAAUUAUAAUUAUGAUUGAGUUAUAUGUCAAAAUAUUACUCUCAUAUUAAAUAAUUAUUAUAUAUAUGAUUAUAUGUACUUUGAGCUCAUAUAAUUAUAUAGGUGAGAUGUAAGCAUUAUAAAGUGAAUAAUAUACAAGUAAUAUUGUAUUAUUAUGAUCUUUAAAAUAAAAAAUGUAAUGUGAUGCACGUUUUAGGUACGAGCUUACUAUAGAAAUAUUUAAAAUAAUACCCUCCUGGGGUAGUAUGCACGCANNNNNNNAACUUGAAGGAAUUGACGGAAGGGCACCACAAGAACGCGUGGAGCAUGUGGCUUAAUUUGACUCAACCCGGGAAAUCUUACCAGGUCCAGACAUAUUGAGGAUUGACAGGCGAUAGUAUAUAAUUCAUUUAUAUGCAUAAAAAUGAUAGUCCUUUCAUGAUUAUAUGAUAGGUGGUGCAUGGCCGUUCUUAGUUCGUGGAGUGAUUUGUCUGCUUAAUUGCGUUUCAGUAAAUAAAAUAUAUAAUAUAUUAUAAUAUUUAGUUCUGCCUGAAUAUUAUUCAGGAUUUAAAGUGAACAUAUUAUAUAUAUUAUUAUAUAAUAAAUGAAUGC